rnacentral:rRNA from 1 species
CCUACGGGUUGCACCAGUGGGGAAUAUUGCACAAUGGGCGCAAGCCUGAUGCAGCCAUGCCGCGUGUAUGAAGAAGGCCUUCGGGUUAUAAAGUACUUACAGCGGGGAGGAAGGCGUUGUGGUUAAUAACCACAGCAAUUGACGUUACCCGCAGAAGAAGCACCGGCUAACUCCGUGCCAGCAGCCGCGGUAAUACGGAGGGUGCAAGCGUUAAUCGGAAUUACUGGGCGUAAAGCGCACGCAGGCGGUCUGUCAAGUCGGAUGUGAAAUCCCCGGGCUCAACCUGGGAACUGCAUUCGAAACUGGCAGGCUAGAGUCUUGUAGAGGGGGGUAGAACUCCAGGUGUAGCGGUGAAAUGCGUAGAGAUCUGGAGGAAUACCGGUGGCGAAGGCGGCCCCCUGGACAAAGACUGACGCUCAGGUGCGGAAGCGUGGGGAGCAAACAGGAUUAGAUACCCCGGUAGUC